AUUGAACGCUGGCGGCAUGCCUUACACAUGCAAGUCGAACGGCAGCACGGGUGCUUGCACCUGGUGGCGAGUGGCGAACGGGUGAGUAAUACAUCGGAACAUGUCCUGUAGCGGGGGAUAGCCCGGCGAAAGCCGGAUUAAUACCGCAUCCGAUCUACGGAUGAAAGCGGGGGACCUUCGGGCCUCGCGCUAUAGGGUUGGCCGAUGGCUGAUUAGCUAGUUGGUGGGGUAAAGGCCUACCAAGGCGACGAUCAGUAGCUGGUCUGAGAGGACGACCAGCCACACUGGGACUGAGACACGGCCCAGACUCCUACGGGAGGCAGCAGUGGGGAAUUUUGGACAAUGGGCGAAAGCCUGAUCCAGCAAUGCCGCGUGUGUGAAGAAGGCCUUCGGGUUGUAAAGCACUUUUGUCCGGAAAGAAAUCCUUGGCCCUAAUACGGUCGGGGGAUGACGGUACCGGAAGAAUAAGCACCGGCUAACUACGUG
rnacentral:rRNA from 1 species